CGCCUGCCCCGCCCCGCCUCCACGCCGACCCGGCCGCGGGGAAAGUACCUGGAUAAUGUAAACCGGGACUGAUGCCUGCGCCUGGCCGCCCGCGGGUUUUGUGCCAAAUAAACCGCUGUUGCACUAGCAGAGACAACGUCCUGGAGAUUGGAGACGACAGCUUGCUAAGUAAACGUUAUACAGCUUAAAA